rnacentral:tRNA from 1 species
GUCGGCGAGCGGCUGGAGCCGCGGCGCGGGCCGUAACCCCGUAGCCAGUCAGUUCGAUCCUGACCGCCUUCAC